AAACAAUUCAGUUUACGGUGGCUUCAUAUUAGCUUUUAUAGAAUUGUUUUCUAAUUUAUAGCUUCAUUAUUGUAAUUUGGUUAUUAUUUCUAUUUCUAUGUCAGUUUUUAUUAUGUUUAUAACAUGUUUGUGCAGUUAUUUCGAUUGUUUUUGUUUCGUUUUAAUUUUAAUUAUGUGUGAUGAACUCGAAGUAUUGGAGUUUUUGGAAAUGUGUGCACCCUACGAAAAAGAAGUAAGGAAAGUGAAAAGACGGCGAUUACGCGACCAAUCCAAUCCAAUUGAUAUAGACAAUGAACAAUUUAGAAAACGUUAUAAUCUAAAUAAAGAUUUGGUGCGUAAUAUGCGUGCGAACUCAUAUGCCGGUAUCAUCGAAAUUUACAGACCUACCAGUGGAAACUAAGGUUUUAUAAUUGGAAUUUGGAAUGCUGGGUGUAUUGGGCUGUAUUUGACUGUACACAUGCCACCCCAUUGUAAAUUAAGAAGAGAUAUUACUGUAGAAAACAAUACCAUUCAUUAAAUAUAUAAUUGGUUAGUAAUGCUGACAUGGACAUUAUGAGUGUGGAUGCCAACUGGAACUGGAGCUACUCAUGACAUUUGGGCAAACCAGAGGCAUUAAGCAACAUCUAGAGGACUUAAGCUGGAAUAAAUCCUUAUGAUUACUUGGAGAUCCAGGAUAUGCUUUGGA